UACGUAGGGUGCGAGCGUUAAUCGGAAUUACUGGGCGUAAAGCGUGCGCAGGCGGCGCGGUAAGUCGGGUGUGAAAUCUCGGAGCUUAACUCCGAAACUGCAUUCGAUACUGCCGUGCUUGAGGACUGGAGAGGAGACUGGAAUUUACGGUGUAGCGGUGAAAUGCGUAGAUAUCGUAAGGAAGACCAGUGGCGAAGGCGGGUCUCUGGACAGUUCCUGACGCUGAGGCACGAAGGCCAGGGGAGCAAACGGG
rnacentral:rRNA from 1 species